rnacentral:rRNA from 1 species
CCCUUAGAUGUUCUGGGCCGCACGCGCGCUACACUGAUGCAGCCAACGAGCUUCUCCCACCUACCGGAUGGAAGAAAUCUUGUGAAACUGUAUCGUGACGGGAACAAACGCUUGAAAUUUUUCGUUUCGAACGAGGAAUUCCUAGUAAGCACGAGUCAUCAGCUCGUGCUGAUUACGUCCCCGCCCUUUGUACACACCGCCCGUCGCUCCUACCGAUUGGGUGAUCCGGUGAACUAUUUGGACUAUGACGUCGGCUCACGCUGACUGUCGUGGGAAGUUUUGUGAACCUUAUCACUUAGAGGAAGGAGAAGUCGUAACA